UUAAUUAAAACCAAAAUAGAGGUAAAUUAUUGUUAAUAAUUUUAUUGAAUUUUUAUUAUUCUAAUUAAU
rnacentral:tRNA from 1 species